CUACGGGAGGCAGCAGUGGGGAAUCUUGCACAAUGGGGGAAACCCUGAUGCAGCGACGCCGCGUGGAGGAUGAAGGAUCUAGGUCUGUAAACUCCUUUUUCAGGGAAAGACUUAGGACGGUACCCUGAGAAUAAGCACCGGCUAACUACGUGCCAGCAGCCGCGGUAAGACGUAGGGUGCGAGCGUUGUCCGGAUUUACUGGGCGUAAAGAGCGCGUAGGCGGCUCGUUAAGUGUGAAGUGAAAUCUCCAGGGCUCAACCCGGAAACUGCUUUACAUACUGGCGAGCUGGAGUGAUGCAGAGGUUUGUGGAAUUCCUGGUGUAACGGUGAAAUGUGUUGAUAUCAGGAGGAACACCCAUGGCGAAGGCAGCAAACUGGGCAUCAACUGACGCUGAGGCGCGAAAGCGUGGGUAGCAAACAGGAUUAGAUACCCCGGUAGU
rnacentral:rRNA from 1 species